UCAUACGUAGGAUCCAAGCGUUAUCCGGAAUAACUGGGCGUAAAGCGUUGCGUAGGCGGUACAGUAAGCGGAGUGUGAAAUCGUGUGGCUCAACCAUACGGCUAUGCUCUGAACUGCUGAACUUGAGAAUGAGAGAGGUUACUGGAAUUCCCUGUGUAGGAGUGAAAUCCGUAGAUAUAGGGAGGAACACCGAUGGCGUAGGCAGGUAACUGGCUCAUUUCUGACGCUCAGGCACGAAAGCGUGGGGAGCAAACGGGAUUAGAUACCCCGGUAGUCCACGCCGUAAACUAUGGAUGCUAGCUGUUAGAAGUAUCGACCCUUCUAGUAGCGAAGCUAACGCGUUAAGCAUCCCGCCUGGGGAGUACGGUCGCAAGAUUA
rnacentral:rRNA from 1 species